UUCACCGGUUCGCUGCCUGGAUUACGACUCCACCCAGCCGCCCCGCUCUCCACCGAUUACGCUCUCUCUCCUCUGCCUCAUCUUCAUCCACCUCGUCAGCUCAGCUCAUCCACCCCGAUAUCACAAGUCUUCUCUGGAUAUCACCCCGGCUCAUCUCCCCUCCGCAUUCAUCCCGGACUUCCUCAUCUUACCGCUUCCGGACUCGUCCUCCCGUUGGAUCUUCAGAACACCUUCAGUUCACAUCCACAUUUUAAUAAAUUAUUGUUCUUCCUUUACAUCA